GUGUGUAAAGCUGUGUUUCAGUCACUGCUAACCAAACCUCAUAAAGAGAAACCUGCAAACCUGCAAAAAUGUUUCAAACAUUCUACACAUUUUCAGUCCAAGCCUGAUGCAGAGCAGUUCUCCCAGGUUAAGGGGUCCCUGCUGCAGUUUCACCAGUAAAGAAAAUUACUUGUUACAAUUCACUCGAAGGACCACAUAAGCCAUGCAGUGGUGCAUGGAGGAGCACCAAGAGGACAUAAAGUGGAAGUUUGUAAGGGACAUUGGUCCAGCGUGGUACAGAGUCAUCGUGGGUUAUUCUGUGGGGAGGUGACAGGGCCUGCCGUUCUCCAGAUGGACAGUAAAAAUCAACAGAAUGCCAUCAAAGACUACCUGGAGGGAGAAUCGGAGGAUAUAUUAAAGCAAGGAAUCUCUCUGUGUAGUCUAUGUACGGGGAUGGGGAAAUCACAUGAGGAGACGUAUUUGAUAUGGGCGUGGCUUUCGUUUACGUCACACUUGGACGUGGGCGGGGUUGUGUCGGGGGUGGGCGUGACUUCUGACGUCACACUUGGAUGUGGGCGGGGUUGGAUGUCCACCGCAGGCUGCAGCGAGCCCUACUUGGAUUCAUACGCCCACAGUGGGUAAUGAUUGGUCGACUGACAAGCUCAAAUCUGAUUGGCCAAAGAGCAAGUGUGUCACGCAUGGGAGGAGUUCACUGAUAGGAAAGUCUCAAAAAUACAUAACACAAAUCCAAGGCGAUUCACAUUCACAGCCCAUGAUAAACUCGUGAAUUUUAAACAUUCAAAAAUGUUGUACACAGUUGUACAUCUGUGAAUUGUGUUUUGAAUUUGUGAAACUUAUUUUAUGAAUAUAUAUUCUUAUUUUGUGCACGUGAAUUAUUUCUCUUGCAUGUGAAUUGGGUUACGCAUGUGUGCAUUGCGUCUCUUUUGUGUGAAUUAUUAUUGAGAUCAUUCUGGCUCCAUACCUAAUAAACAUGUGCUGACUGUCA
ensembl:lncRNA